rnacentral:rRNA from 1 species
CUCGUUGAUUAGAAGUGCUUGCACUGAAAAUUAACAUUGGAUGAGUGGCGAACUGGUGAGUAACACGUGGGUAACUUGCCCAGAAGUGGGGGAUAACAUUUGGAAACAGGUGCUAAUACCGCAUAACAACAAAAACCGCAUGGUUUUGUUUAAAAGAUGGUUUCGGCUAUCACUUUUGGAUAGACCCGCGGUGCAUUAGCUAGUUGGUAGAGUAAUGGUUUACCAAGGCAAUGAUGCAUAGCCGACCUGAGAGGGUAAUCGGCCACAUUGGGACUGAGACACGGCCCAAACUCCUACGGGAGGCAGCAGUAGGGAAUCUUCCACAAUGGACGAAAGUCUGAUGGAGCAACGCCGCGUGAGUGAAGAAGGGUUUCGGCUCGUAAAACUCUGUUGUUGGAGAAGAACGGACGUGAGAGUAACUGUUCACGUUGUGACGGUAUCCAACCAGAAAGCCACGGCUAACUACGUGC